rnacentral:rRNA from 1 species
CCGGAGAAUGUUAUCACGGGAGACACACGGCGGGUGCUAACGUCCGUCGUGAAGAGGGAAACAACCCAGACCGCCAGCUAAGGUCCCAAAGUCAUGGUUAAGUGGGAAACGAUGUGGGAAGGCCCAGACAGCCAGGAUGUUGGCUUAGAAGCAGCCAUCAUUUAAAGAAAGCGUAAUAGCUCACUGGUCGAGUCGGCCUGCGCGGAAGAUGUAACGGGGCUAAACCAUGCACCGAAGCUGCGGCAGCGACYCUGUGRGUUGUUGGGUAGGGGAGCGUUCUGUAAGCCUGRGAAGGUGUSRCGUGAGGSAUGCUGGAGGUAUCAGAAGUGCGAAUGCUGACAUAAGUAACGAUAAAGCGGGUGAAAAGCCCGCUCGCCGGAAGACCAAGGGUUCCUGUCCAACGUUAAUCGGGGCAGGGUGAGUCGACCCCUAAGGCGAGGCCGAAAGGCGUAGUCGAUGGGAAACYGGUUAAUAUUCCCGUACUUGGUGUUACUGCGAAGGGGGGACGGAGAAGGCUAUGUUGGCCGGGCGACGGUUGUCCCGGUUUAAGCGUGUAGG